GCCCAGGAUGGUGAGCCCUUUCCUGGGAUUGGAGGGGGUUAUGCCCAAGUGUUAAAUAGUGGUGGAUGCCCGCUGUGUUUUUGAGAUGGAAGCAUCAGGAUUUGGCGAAGAGAGCACUUAGGCAGUGAGCCUGCAAUAUAGAGCUGGUGGUAGCGCCGUUGACUUGGAGGGAGACUGACAAGGGAGUGGAAACACUUAAGGGAUGGAGAACCAAAAGUUCUAUUUUGGACAGAUUAAGUUUAAGGAAAUGAACAGUAAUCCAGUUAGAAAUAGCAGAGAGGCAAUCAGGUACAUGAGUCAAGAAGGGUGGUGAGAAAUCAGGGGAGGACAGGUAGAUUUGUGUGUCAUCCGCAUAGAAAUAAUAUUGGAAGGACCUGAUGAGUUUACAAAGGGAGGCAUUAUAGAUGGAGAAUAGGAGACCAAGUACAGACCCUUGGGGAACACCAACAGAGAGGGAUUGGGGAGAAGAGGCAGAGCCAGCAAAAGAAACACUGAAAGAGCGAUUUGAGAGGUAGGAAGAGCACCAGGAGAGAGCGGUAUCUCGUAGACCGAGAUUAGAGGAUAAGAAGAAGCUGCUAAUAUUCAACAUUGUCAAAAGCAGUGGUGGUGGGUGCAAGUGACCACAGGGCAGAAGAGGGAGUUGGGUUUGGGGGGAAAAUUGGUUAGGGGAUAGAGAGAUGAGAGAUCUCUUCCCCAAUUGUAGAAAUCUUCUCAGUGAAGUGAGUUGCGAUGUUUGUCAAGUUGGUAGGAGAAGCCGGUUGAGCAAGAGAGCCAAGAAUAGAGUUAAAAGCAUUAAAUAGUCGUUUGGGCUUGUGGGAGAGUGUGAUUAUGUGAUGAAAGGAGUUUACUUUUGCAGAGGAAAGAGACCGACUGUAGGAGCUCAGCUUAAAUUUAUAGUGGAGGAAGUCAGACGCAGAGUGACUUGCAGUCCAGUGUUCACCAGUUCUGGAACAUUUUUGGAGAUAUCUGGUCAGGGUUAUAACUGGGGGCGCUUAGUGCAUUUAAAUGUAGGAGGUGCCACGAUAUCUAGUUGAGAGGAGAGUGUAGUUGUAGAGGGAGGUUGCAGCGUUAGGGCAGGUGAGGUUUGAGAUGGGUAAAAGGAGAAUUUCUGGAGGUUGGUGAUAACGAGGAGGGUGACCGGUCCCCGGUGUUUGAAGGUGUUUAUAACGAGGAUGGUGAGCCCGUCCCCGGUGUUUGAAGGUGUUGAUAACGAGGAUGGUGAGCCCUUCCUCGUGGUUGGAGGGUGGUGAUAACAAGGAUGGUGAGCCCAUGGUUGGAGGAUGGUGAUAAUGAGGAGGGUGAGCCCUUCCCUGGGGUUGGAGGGUAGUCAUAACGAGGAGGGUGAGCCCUUCCCCAUGGUUGGAAAGUGGUGAUAAUGAGGAGGGUGAGCCCUUCCCCAUUAUUAUUAUUAUUAUUAUUAUUAUUACCGUCAAAUUCUGCAGCGCUUUACAAUGGAUGGACGAACAGACAUGUAGUUGUAAUCAGACAAGUUGGACACACA